rnacentral:rRNA from 1 species
GACGAACGCUGGCGGCGUGCUUAACACAUGCAAGUCGAACGGAAAGGCCCUGCUUGCAGGGUACUCGAGUGGCGAACGGGUGAGUAACACGUGGGUGAUCUGCCCUCCACUUCGGGAUAAGCCUGGGCAACUGGGUCUAAUACCGGCUAGGAGCCAUUUUUAGUGUGAUGGUUGGAAAGUUUUUUCGGUUUAGGAUGAGCUUGCGGGCUAUCGGCUUGUUGGGGGGGUAAUGGGCUACCAAGGCGGCGGCGGGUAGCCGGCCUGAGAGGGUGGACGGCGACAUUGGGACUGAGAUACGGCCCAGACACCUACGGGAGGGAGCAGGGGGGAAUAUUGCACAAUGGGCGCAAGCCUGAUGCAGCGACGCCGCGUGGGGGAAGACGGCCUUCGGGUUGUAAACUCCUUUCGCUAGGGACGAAGCUUUUUGUGACGGUACCUAGAUAAGAAGCACCGGCUAACUACGUG